rnacentral:rRNA from 1 species
ACACAUGCAAGUCGAGGGGCAGCAUCUCAGUUUGCUUGCAAACUGGAGAUGGCGACCGGCGCACGGGUGAGUAACACGUAUCCAACCUGCCGAUAACUCGGGGAUAGCCUUUCGAAAGAAAGAUUAAUACCCGAUGGUAUAAUCAGACCGCAUGGUCUUGUUAUUAAAGAAUUUCGGUUAUCGAUGGGGAUGCGUUCCAUUAGGCAGUUGGUGAGGUAACGGCUCACCAAACCUUCGAUGGAUAGGGGUUCUGAGAGGAAGGUCCCCCACAUUGGAACUGAGACACGGUCCAAACUCCUACGGGAGGCAGCAGUGAGGAAUAUUGGUCAAUGGGCGCAGGCCUGAACCAGCCAAGUAGCGUGAAGGAUGACUGCCCUAUGGGUUGUAAACUUCUUUUAUAUGGGAAUAAAGUUUUCCACGUGUGGAAUUUUGUAUGUACCAUAUGAAUAAGGAUCGGCUAACUCCGUGCCAGCAGCCGCGGUAAUACGGAGGAUCCGAGCGUUAUCCGGAUUUAUUGGGUUUAAAGGGAGCGUAGGUGGACAGUUAAGUCAGUUGUGAAAGUUUGCGGCUCAACCGUAAAAUUGCAGUUGAUACUGGCUGUCUUGAGUACAGUAGAGGUGGGCGGAAUUCGUGGUGUAGCGGUGAAAUGCUUAGAUAUCACGAAGAACUCCGAUUGCGAAGGC